rnacentral:rRNA from 1 species
AUUGAACGCUGGCGGCAUGCUUUACACAUGCAAGUCGAACGGCAGCACGGGCUUCGGCCUGGUGGCGAGUGGCGAACGGGUGAGUAAUAUAUCGGAACGUACCCAGAAGUGGGGGAUAACGUAGCGAAAGUUACGCUAAUACCGCAUACGAUCUAUGGAUGAAAGCAGGGGACCGCAAGGCCUUGUGCUCCUGGAGCGGCCGAUAUCUGAUUAGCUAGUUGGUGAGGUAAAGGCUCACCAAGGCGACGAUCAGUAGCUGGUCUGAGAGGACGACCAGCCACACUGGAACUGAGACACGGUCCAGACUCCUACGGGAGGCAGCAGUGGGGAAUUUUGGACAAUGGGCGCAAGCCUGAUCCAGCAAUGCCGCGUGAGUGAAGAAGGCCUUCGGGUUGUAAAGCUCUUUUGUCAGGGAAGAAGCGGUAGAGGCUAAUAUCCUUUGCUAAUGACGGUACCGGAAGAAUAAGCACCGGCUAACUACGU